UACGGGGGGGGUAAGCGUUGUUCGGAAUUACUGGGCGUAAAGGCGUCGUAGGCGGCCAACUAAGUCGGACGUGAAAUCCCUCAGCUUAACUGGGGAACUGCGUCCGAUACUGGAUGGCUUGGAUUUGGGAGAGGGAUGCGGAAUUCCAGGUGUAGCGGUGAAAUGCGUAGAUAUCUGGAGGAACACCGGUGGCGAAGGCGGCAUCCUGGACCAAUACUGACACUCAGGUGCGACAGCGUGGGGAGCAAACAGG
rnacentral:rRNA from 1 species